UACGUAGGGCGCAAGCGUUGUCCGGAAUUAUUGGGCGUAAAGAGCUCGUAGGCGGCUUGUCACGUCGGGUGUGAAAGCCCGGGGCUUAACCCCGGGUCUGCAUUCGAUACGGGCUAGCUAGAGUGUGGUAGGGGAGAUCGGAAUUCCUGGUGUAGCGGUGAAAUGCGCAGAUAUCAGGAGGAACACCUGAGGUGAAGACGGGUUGCUGGGCCGACACUGACGCUGAGUGCGCGAAAGCCAGGGGAGCAAACGGG
rnacentral:rRNA from 1 species